rnacentral:lncRNA from 1 species
GGCAGGCCCGGGCCCCUUAGCACCCAGCAGAGUGAGGAGCUGAGCAGGUCUCUGCAAGGAGGGCUUUUGGGGCACUGCCGGCACACCACACGCUCCGGGCAGCAUGAUGUUCACUCCAUUCCUCCCACCUGCUCACUGGAAUGUCGAAGACCCUGGGAAAGGUGGUCAGGAACUUGUUGUCUUGUCUGACACCGUGGAGCACAUGCCCAGGGGCCCGGGCUGGCCGAGGGAGCCUGCUGUUCUUCGAAGAUCUAGGAGGGGCCGCAUCCAGAGAGUGCUGGGGAGGAUACGGGACACUCUGAAACGGAGACCACAGGAGCCAUGGAAACAGAACCAUGAACAGGGCUGCCCUAAGGCCCCGCUUUCCCAGUAUCUCAGGCGCUGGGGCUGAAAUAAAUGCUGGCGCGUUUGACUGUUUUUGCUUCCUGAUGCUGGCUGCCACUUUCGACACUGUCACUGGGCUCAGGUGCAUUGGAGGCAGGGUGCGGGGGUGUCAGCCACGGUGGUGCUGGGAUUGCGGAAGGAGGGAGCUAGCAUCUUCCUUA